rnacentral:rRNA from 1 species
UUCGCCCUUUUCCGGUUGAUCCUGCCGGACCCCACUGCUAUCGGGAUAGGACUAAGACAUGCAAGUCAAGCGCUUUCUAGCUAAUGUGAGAGCGCGGCGUACAGCUCAGUAACACGUGGCCAACCUGCCCUCGGGACGGGAACACCCCCGGGAAACUGGGGUUAAUUCCCGAUAGGUGAAGAAGUCUGGAAUGACUCUUCGCUCAAAAGACGUUUAUGUCAUGCUCAUAUUCGUCGCCCAGGGAUGGGGCCGCGACCGAUCAGGUUGUUGGUGAGGCAAUGGCUCACCAAGCCUUUUACCGGUGCGGGCCGUGAGAGCGGGAGCCCGGAGAUGGGCACUGAGACAAAGGCCCAGGCCCCACGGGGCGCAGCAGUCGCGAAAAUUUUGCAAUACACGAAAGUGUGACAGAGCUAUCCCGAGUGCCAUCCGCUGAGGAAGGCUUUUACCCAGUAUAAAUAGCUGGGAGAAUAAGGAGAGGGCAAGUCUGGUGUCAGCCGCCGCGGUAAUACCAGCUCUCCGAGUAGUGUGGACGUUUAUUGGGCCUAAAGCAUCCGUAGCUUGCUAGAUAAGUCCUCUGUUAAAUCCACCGAUUCAAUCGUUGGAUUGCGGGGGAUACUGUUUGGCUAGGGGACGGGAGAGGUCGACGGUAUUUCCGGGGUGGGGGUGAAAUCCUAUAAUCCCGGGAGGACACCAGUGGCGAAGGCUGUCGACUAGAACGCGCCCGACGGUGAGGGAUGAAAGCUGGGGGAGCGAAACGGAUUAGAUACCCGGGUAGUCCCAGCUGUAAACGAUGCAG